rnacentral:rRNA from 1 species
GCAAGCGUUGUUCGGAAUUACUGGGCGUAAAGCGUACGUAGGCGGCGGGUUAAGUCGCAUGUUAAAGCCUGGGGCUCAACCCCAGAGAUGCACUCGAUACUGGCUUGCUAGAGGGUGAUAGAGGAAAGCGGAAUUCCCAGUGUAGCGGUGAAAUGCGUAGAUAUUGGGAGGAACAUCAGUAGCGAAGGCGGCUUUCUGGGUCACACCUGACGCUGAGGUACGAAAGCGUGGGGAGCAAACGGG